AACGCUAGCUACAGGCUUAACACAUGCAAGUAGAGGGGCAGCAUUAGAGAAGCUUCGGCUUAUUUAGAUGGCGACCUGCGAAUGGGUGAGUAACACGUAUCCAACCUGGCUGUUACUGGAGGAUAGCCUCCCGAAAGGGAAAGUAAGACUCCAUAGAAUGAUUGCAAGACACCUUGUGAUGAUUAAAGGUUACGGUAACAGAUGGGGAUGCGUCCCAUUAGGCAGUUGGCGGGGUAACGGCCCACCAAACCGACGAUGGGUAGGGGUUCUGAGAGGAAGGUCCCCCACAUUGGAACUGAGACACGGUCCAAACUCCUACGGGAGGCAGCAGUGAGGAAUAUUGGUCAAUGGACGGAAGUCUGAACCAGCCAAGUAGCGUGCAGGAAGACGGCCCUAUGGGUUGUAAACUGCUUUUAUACGAGGGUAAAGUGUGCCACGUGUGGCAUAUUGCAAGUAUCGUAAGAAAAAGGAUCGGCUAAUUCCGUGCCAGCAGCCGCGGUAAUACGGAAGAUCCGAGCGUUAUCCGGAUUUAUUGGUUUAAAGGGAGCGUAGGCGGAAGUUCAAGUCAGUUGUGAAAGUCUGUGGCUUAACCAUAGAAUUGCAGUUGAAACUGAAUUUCUUGAGUGUAGAUAAGGAUGGUGGAAUUUGUGGUGUAGCGGUGAAAUGCAUAGAUAUCACGAAGAACUCCGAUUG
rnacentral:rRNA from 1 species